AACCUCCCUAACCUCCAUAACCUCCCUAACCUCCCUAACCUCCAUAACUUCCAUAACCUCCCUAACCUCCAUAACCUUCCUAACCUCCAUAACCUCCCUAACCUCCAUAACCUCCCUAACCUCCAUAACCUCCCUAACCUCCAUAAUCCUGCACGUGUACUCGCCCUCUCUGCCCCACCUCUACCCAGUCCCCCACUCCUCCCCUUGGCUCUGACUGCUCUGCCCCCCAGGGGGCUACUGAGUCUCCCUCUUGCUUCCUUCUGGGGGGCGGUGCUUACAGCCAUCUUCUCCAGCUCCCUCUGGGGCCUGUGUUGCUGAGCCCAGGGCCAAGGAGCUGGCUGAGUGUCUCAAGCAGAGGCUGUUGAAGUACCAGGUAACUGCCACUCUAUGUCGCCACCCCACGGAGCUAUGAAGUGCACGUGGCUGAGGGCUCCAUGAAGAAGGAGUUCCCACAGAACCUGGGAGGCAGCGACACGUGCUACUUCUGCCAGAAGCGGGUCUACGUGAUGGAGAGGCUGAGUG
rnacentral:sRNA from 1 species